GGGGGUGUAGCUCAGUAGUAGAGCACAUGCUUAGCAUACAUGUGGCCCUGGGUUCCAUCCCCAGCACCGCCA
rfam:Dipodomys ordii contig_5749, whole genome shotgun sequence.